UUAUUAAUGUGUCGAAUUGACCUUAUAUCUAUUUUCCCUUCUGUAUUCGACAAUGUUUUAUUUGGUAUUGACAGUUUCCCAGACUCCCUAUUCUAUUUUCGCUUCAUCACUAAUCACUCUCUCUGAAAGUAUCUCAAACAAAUCAUACUGCUAGAAUCAACAUAUAAAGUUUCAUUGUUUGCAGCUAUGCCUUUAGGUGAAUCGUUCUUCUUCUACAUUAUUCUUAUCUGGAGGUAUAUAUACUCAUAUCCAUAUGCUCUCUUCGUUUUCCAGUUGUUUAUGUUCAUACUUCAUUUGAAUUUGUUGCUGAUUUCUUUCGAUCAUAGUUUAACGUUGUGUGUUAUUGUGCACGAAAGAAUAGUACUUUUAAGUCAUAAUCUUGAAUAUUAGAUAAAUUACAUGAUAUAACGUGUAAAUAUGAUUUGAUAGUGUAAAAUUUCUUACACUAACGGAAAAUAUAACUUAAAUGUAUAUCUGUUGACCCCUAAGAAGGAAAAAAUAUCAAGGAAAAAAUUGAUACCUUGGGUUAUUUUGUUCGGUUUUCAUGGCUGCAAAAACACCGCCAAUGAAGCUCCAAAAAUAUGGAGAAGGUAGUGUUGUUUUUUGGAGUAAGAUCAUGAGAUAUGUAUUUCAGUCAACUCAAGAAAACAAAAGAAAGUUUCAAAUAUGAUAUGUGUUAUUGUGCACGAAAGAAUAGUACUUUAAGUAAUGUCCAAUUAUGGCAGGCGAACCAAAAAUCCAAGAGUUUUUCCUAUUCUCCUGUGAGAUUGAACACAUUGGGAUUCGACAAGGUCAAUAGCUUAAAUUUUUCGAACUAUUUCAUGAGAAUUAUAUUUGUGUUUUGCAGAGUUUUGGUUUAAAGCAAGAGAAAUCAUGAUCCUUCCUUGGGUGUUCUUUAAGUUUUUCUUUCACUUUUCCCCCCUUUUGUUUCUCGCUUCUUCCUUCUCGCUUAAGAUAUGAAUCAUGGGAGAAAAAUGGCCCGUGUCAGUUAGGACUGUUAGGCAUUUGUGCUUUUACUUGAUUUACUUUUUAGAAUUGUUACGGUGUGUUCGUGUCCAAUUUAUGAGCUAAAUAAUAUUUGUGACUAUCCUGUAAGGCAUGAAUGUUGCUCCUCAAUGUACCUGCAUAAAUUUUUUAUUGUGUGUUUCCUUGAUUGAGAGUCUUCAAUCUACCUUGCCAAGGAAGAGGAAAAACUAAAUCCCAUGGACCUACAGAAGUCGCACCAAUCAGAACCGGAUAGCCACCAAAAAGAAAGUCCACUUUAAGGUACAAAUGGAAUUGAUUUAUACAAAAAUAUAGAUGGACGUUACAAAUGAAUGUUGCGUUUCCCUCACUAUCCUCUUUCAAGUCAUUUCCCUAAUAAUAUUAUUAAGGAGUCGUUUGAACCACUUCUCUUAUCCACACACAUUGGAGGAAUCAGUUCUUUGCAAAACAGGUUGUGCUAAAAGAGCGUGAAGAAUUUGAUGGGCUUGCAAGCAAAUGGAAAAUACAAGUUAAUAUUGCUUUUAUUACAUAUAUAUUGAGCUGAAUAAAUUAUACAGAGAUGAAUGAACUACAUUACCCUUUUCCUAAUAUUUAAUCGGAAUAGAAUUGAACAAUUUACUUACCAGAAUAUAUUUGGAACAUCAGCAAUAGAUAUUUGUCAAUGUUGUAGCACUGUACAUGUACAUUUUUUAUUUUUAUAUCAGGAAUUAUUUUUUUAGUAGUUUUGGUUAGUGGGCACUUUCAGGAUCUGAUAAUGAUAAAAAAACUCUCAUUUUACCUGUUCGCAAAUCGUCCUUUUGACAAAUUGAAGAUAGAAAAGAGAGUUGAUCUUUGUCUUUCUAUUUGUUUAUUUGAGAAAAGAGGAAAUUUUCCUUUUUCCUGUUUUUUAUUGAGAAAUUGGUCAACUAUCAAAUUUGGGAGUCCUGCCUUUUUUUUUUUUUUUUUUUUUUUUUGGAAGCCUUUGGGUGCAGAUCUUGCAGAAAAAGUUAUUGCAUAAAACACCUAUGAGAGGAAGAGAGAAAGCUAUGCUGUUAUUACUUGACUUAUGAGCACCAUACAACAAUCAAUGCAAAUUAGUGGAUGUGAUUUGCAGUUGUUCUAUAAAAAGGUUGAAUCCUUGAGAGCUAUUAUGGAGAAACCCGGCAAUAUAACAAGCAAAGACGAUAUUGAGGCAUUGACAAUAUUGGAAGCUGAACUCCUAGAGCUAGCAUGCACACAGAAGAUAUGGUUUACUCGAGAUCAAGAAAAGGUUUUUUUGGCUGAAACUGCAGAGGAACGAAUUAGCGCUUUGUGGGAACUAAACAUCCUCUUGGAAAAAGCAGUAGAAUGCAUUGAUUUGGCCACCAUGAAGCAUUGGAUAGCAAUAGGGGGCGGUACAACAACAUCCAACAUCCAGAAACACAAAAAUUGUCUCCUGCCUAUGUAUCUCUACAUGCUCUAGAGCCCGAGUAUAUGAUGGUUGGCCAGGAAAAUGAAUUCAAGAUGAUGAAGGAUCAACUUGGUCGAGGUGAAAGGGAACUAGAAGUUGUAUCUAUUGUAGGGAUGGAGGCAUCAGCAAGACAACUUUGACUAAUAACACCUACAAUGAUCCAUUACUUUGGCCUCACUUUGACAUGCGUGCAAAAGCUACUGUUUCACAAGAGUAUUGUGCGAGAAAUGUACUCCUAGGCUUCUUUCUUCUAUAAGUGAUGAACCUUAUGAUGAGCUAGAUGAUGGGUGACAACGACUGCAAAAGAUUCUAAAAGGCAAGAGAUACUGGUUAGUCAUUGUGACAUAUGGCCUACAGGAGCUUGGAGUGAUAAAAAACAAUGUUUCCCAGCUUGUAAUAAUUAGGGCCGAUAACUCUUGACUACUCAGAAUGUGGAAGUGGCUGAAUAUGCUUAGGAAAUAAGUUUCACUAAAGUGCAGCAGAUUGCCGCUAGCAAUUGUUGUAAUCACGUAUGAGUUUCUUUUGUUA